rnacentral:tRNA from 2 species
AUUUAAGUGGCAGAGCCUGGUAAAUGCAAAAGACCUAAACCCUUUAAUCAAAGGUUCAAAUCCUUUCUUAAAUU